GACGGAAGGUGCAAGCGUUGCUCGGAAUCACUGGGCGUAAAGGGUGCGUAGGCGGCUUGGUGGGUCUGGUGUGAAAGCCCCGGGCUCAGCCCGGGAAGGGCACUAGAAACUGCCGAGCUGGAGUGCCGGAGGGGAGAGUGGAAUUCCUGGUGUAGCGGUGAAAUGCGUAGAUAUCAGGAGGAAUACCGGUGGCGAAGGCGGGUCUCUGGACAGUUCCUGACACUGAGACACGAAGGCCAGGGGAGCAAACGGG
rnacentral:rRNA from 1 species